rnacentral:rRNA from 1 species
AUUGAACGCUGGCGGCAGGCCUAACACAUGCAAUUCGAGCGGAUGAAGGGAGCUUGCUCCUGGAUUCAGCGGCGGACGGGUGAGUAAUGCCUAGGAAUCUGCCUGGUAGUGGGGGAUAACGUCCGGAAACGGGCGCUAAUACCGCAUACGUCCUGAGGGAGAAAGUGGGGGAUCUUCGGACCUCACGCUAUCAGAUGAGCCUAGGUCGGAUUAGCUAGUUGGUGGGGUAAAGGCCUACCAAGGCGACGAUCCGUAACUGGUCUGAGAGGAUGAUCAGUCACACUGGAACUGAGACACGGUCCAGACUCCUACGGGAGGCAGCAGUGGGGAAUAUUGGACAAUGGGCGAAAGCCUGAUCCAGCCAUGCCGCGUGUGAAGAAGGUCUUCGGAUUGUAAAGCACUUUAAGUUGGGAGGAAGGGCAGUAAGUUAAUACCUUGCUGUUUUGACGUUACCAACAGAAUAAGCACCGGCUAACUUCGUG